GUGCUGCUCAGAACAACCUGACACCCUGACAGAGGGCGAGGGUCAAAGGCUAGUGCCAGCCCUGUCUGUCCAGUCCAGCAGCUGUGCUCUUCCAGAAGCUGAACGCCACAAAGCUCUCACAGGGCCUAUGACUUCUAUUGGUGAUAAAGUCACCCAUUCUGCUAA